rfam:Daphnia pulex DAPPTscaffold_3020_Cont14613, whole genome shotgun sequence.
GUCAGGAUGGCCGAGCGGUCUAAGGCGCUGCGUUCAGGUCGCGGUCCAGUACUCUGGGCGAGGGUUCGAAUCCCUCUUCUGACA